rnacentral:lncRNA from 1 species
CAGAGCCUUGAUGCUGAGGAACAGAGCCGUCUUCAAAAUGCUGGAAUUGGGUCUUGGAGCUCAAAGAACACUUGCAGAAUCCCGUGAGGAGAGUCAGAAGGACUUGACUGCCAAGCGUUGACAUUGGGGUCAUGAAACACCAGCACUUCUGGAAUGUGACCCUUUGGAACUGCCUUCUGAAACUUUGUGUUAUCUUCCUGCAUAGAGCCAUCGAGGCAAAGGGAAGGACUCAGGAGAGGAAGCAGUAAAGGAACCCAGCUCCUGGGGGCCUCAAGAAGAGUGGAGGCAAACUUCAGCCAAGGGAGUCAAGCUCUGGAUCUUUUCCUGGAGUUUCAUGGCCCUCAGCCUUGCCUGGGACCAUCUUCAUAACUGUCUUCUCCAAAAUCAAGGCACAACACAUGGUGGACUGGAUCCUGGAAGCUAGAGGUCAGGGUAGCAUACUUCAUAGAUGAGGCUCCUGGGACACAGGCAAGACAGAAAAUGAAUGUCGGAACAGAGUUCUUCCUUCCCUGAAUAAAGCCUUGGUGAUGAACGAGUUGGCCUGAGUAGGUGUGAUGAAGUAAGUCCUUGGUGUGACUGAACCUUGCCUGGGAGCUUCUACAAGGUUGCAAGGCGAGGGAAGCCUUCCUGCUGCUCCUGAGGGAAGGAUACAGAAUGCCUUCUGUGCUCCCCACACCCAACAAGAGUCAGUCCCUAGGACCCAAACGUAUCUUACCUACUGGAACUGCCUGUGCUUUGUAUCUGCUGGAUCUUCUGUAUCCAGGACUGGAAAAGAUGUCUACAGCAUGGACCUGGAAUGGAAGGAGCCCUCCUUCCAGUGACUUCUCUUGGGACCACCUGGACUUUGCCAUUGCAAGGGGUCUGUGGGUGAUGUUUGCCCAUCUCAUUACCCUUCCCCACCAGGAAGUUUCUCCUCUGCUGAACAGUGUGGCCAGGAACUGUCUGAGGAUGCAAGAGGAAGUUAGAUGGGGUUUCGGGGUGGGUCUCCUGACUUUGAAUUCUAAUGAAGCAAAGGUUAGAGAGUUAAAGGCUUGGGCCUUGAGGCCGCAGCUGAAGAAGACCCUGAAAGUCAAAAAAAGUCAUGUGUGCAUCUGAAUAUAUGAAUAGGUGUGUGUGUGUGUGUGUGUGUGUGUGUGUGUGUGUGUGUGUGUGUAAGAGAGAUGGGGGGAUAUGGGGGAGGAGAGAGCUGUGCAGGCGAUCAAGAGUCAAAGUGAAAGGAAAUAGGCAUGGAUGGACCAUGCCAGAUGACAACAAUGGUCAUAGCUAGAAUUUAUGUAACACUGGAUGCCAAGCCUGUUCUAAAUUAUUUUUUAAUUUGUUUUUGUUUUUUAUGUAUGAGUGUCUUGCUUGCAUGUAUGUAUGUGUAUCAUGUGUGUGCCUGGUGCCCAUAGACGUCAGAGGAAGACAUUGGAUCCCUGGAGUCACAGAUAGUUGUGAGCAACCAUGUGGGUGCCAGGAAUCGACCCCAGGUCCUCUGCAAGAGCAGCAAAUGUUUUUAGCUGCUGACCCAUCUCUCCAGCCCCAUGUCCCAAAUUUGUUGUAUGUAUUAACUAUUUUAACCCUUGUAACCAACUUCAGAUAUUAUUAGCCCAUUUUGCAUUGGCUGAAACCUAGGCCCAGGGAACAAAUAACUGGAAGUAAAAUUUG